rnacentral:misc_RNA from 1 species
ACAUUUCUUUGUGACGAAAGUGGAUGAGGACAAGAUAGAGGCGGGUAGCACUGGACGACACCUGCUGUGGGUUCAGAUGGAGCGGUUUUUCUUGCUAGCAAACAAAGAAUUCUGAAAUGAAGAAAGAACUAAGGGAACAACAAAACGAAGACGAAGCAGAGGAAACCAAAGAUCGGGAAAAAGAAGAAAUAUCAGUAUCCACUCAAGAAUUCGAUAUCAUCUGUGAGUUCAUAAUCCCUGUCAAAGAGCAAUGCAUUCGGCUGCUAGGAAAAAUAGUUGGAACACUUCUAUUUCUUGUGAUCGCAGUCACAAUGUUGUUCUGGAAAAGAUCCAGCGACUAUGCCAGCGUUGAUCAGUUGGUGAUGUUCGUAUUCGUCUUUCUCCUGCCCAAAGUCGUCGAGUACUGCUGCAAAAAUCCGAACGAAAGUCAGACAAGGGAUUUAAAAUCCAAGGUUAAAGAUCUUUUGUGUAGAUUUGAGAAUGGUGACUCCGUGAAAUUUGGUCAUGCGGACUUUGAUAAGACGAAUUCCGUGGUGUGUCUCUGGAAAUCGCUUUGUACAAAAGGAUCUGACGCGAAAGAACAAGAAAAAGAUACGACGACAGACAAAAGCAGUUGUGUAUAAAGUGCAUAUCGUUGAGACAUAGAUAUUUCUUUUUACAAAGAUUGUUAUUGGGUUAUAAGAAGAAAAGUCAGACGGGAAAGCGAGUGCUUCCUACAUUAUGUGUACAUGUACCUAGCUAGCUGUAUUUGCAUAUACCCAAGGUCAUUAAAAAUU